UUCUGCUGUCACUUGCGCAUGGACCCGAUGAGCUUUAGCGAGGGGGUGGGGCAAUGGUUCGCCACGGCCACUAUGCGGACUCAAACUGAGAGGGUGAUCACUGACACUGAGACUGAGACCCGACCCCUACUCCAAGCGGAGGCGGGGAAAAGGAAUCUUCGGCCAUGGACCAGAUGCUGACGGAGCAACGCCAUGAGAAUGGUGUUGGGUUUCUGAUCGACUUUCUCUGGUGAUGAGGAAGAACAGGUGCAAAACCAACUGCUCUGACCUUGACCGCACCUAACCCAAAAGCCACCUCUAACUACGUGCCAGCAGCCAUGGUAAUGGGGAAGUGGCAAGUCUUAACCACUGUUAUUGGGCGUCACGGGCUCGCAUGCUUAAUCUUAAUGCUGAUGUGACAGCCUCCGCCUCAACCGUGGAUGUGCAUUUGAAACUGUUAAACUUGAGUGAGGAAGAGGAAAUUGCAAUUCCACCUGUGACGUGGAAAUGCAUAUAGAUGAGUAGGAACACCGAUGGCGAACGCGAGUAUCUGGACUGACACUGACGCUCAAGAGCGAAAGCAUCGGGAGCGAUCAGGAUUAGAUACCCUGGUAGUCCACGACGAUGACGAUGAGUGCGAUGUGCUCAUGGAGGUUUCCGCUUCCUUAAUGCUGCACCUAACGCAUUACCGCCCCGCCGCCUGCGGACUACAGGCUCAAGACUAAAAACUC
rnacentral:rRNA from 2 species